AUUGAACGCUGGCGGCAGGCUUAACACAUGCAAGUCGAGCGGCCGGCCGGACGGGUAGGUAUGGCUUAGGAAUCUGCCUAUUGGUGGGGGACAACAUCCGGAAAGGGAUGCUAUUCCCGAUACCAAUAGGAUGGGCCUAAGUCGGAUUAGGAAGUGGGUGGGGUAAAGGCCUACCAAGGCGACGAUCUGAAGCGGGUCGGGGAGGAUGAUCCGCAACACUGGGACUGAGACACGGCCCAGACUCCUACGGGAGGCAGCAGUGGGGAAUAUUGGACAAUGGGGGGAACCCUGAUCCAGCCAUGCCGCGUGUGUGAAGAAGGCCUUAUGGUUGUAAAGCACUUUAAGCGAGGAGGCGUUACUCGCAGAAUAAGCACCGGCUAACUCUGUGCCAGCAGCCGCGGUAAUUC
rnacentral:rRNA from 1 species